CCUACGGGGGGCUGCAGUGGGGAAUCUUGCGCAAUGGGCGAAAGCCUGACGCAGCGACGCCGCGUGAGUGAUGAAGGCCUUCGGGUUGUAAAGCUCUGUGGAGGGGGACGAAUAAGUGUCGUCGAAUAGACGGCAUGAUGACGGUACCCCUUUAGCAAGCACCGGCUAACUCUGUGCCAGCAGCCGCGGUAAGACAGAGGGUGCAAACGUUGUUCGGAAUUACUGGGCGUAAAGCGCGUGUAGGCUGCUCGGAAAGUCGGAUGUGAAAGCCCUGG
rnacentral:rRNA from 1 species